CCUACGGGGUGCAGCAGUCGAGAAUCAUUCACAAUGGGGGAAACCCUGAUGGUGCGACGCCGCGUGGGGGAAUGAAGGUCUUCGGAUUGUAAACCCCUGUCAUGUGGGAGCAAAUUAAAAAGAUAGUACCACAAGAGGAAGAGACGGCUAACUCUGUGCCAGCAGCCGCGGUAAUACAGCGGUCUCAAGCGUUGUUCGGAAUCACUGGGCGUAAGGCGUGCGUAGGCUGUUUCGUAAGUCGUGUGUGAAAGGCGCGGGCUCAACCCGCGGACGGCACAUGAUACUGCGAGACUAGAGUAAUGGAGGGGUAACCGGAAGUCUCGGUGUAGCAGUGAAAUGCGUAGAUAUCGAGAGGAACACUCGUGGCGAAGGCGGGUUCCUGGACAUUAACUGACGCUGAGGCACGAAGGCCAGGGGAGCGAAAGGGAUUAGAUACCCCAGUAGUC
rnacentral:rRNA from 1 species